rfam:Dichanthelium oligosanthes cultivar Kellogg 1175 unplaced genomic scaffold Do_version_2_scaffold38, whole genome shotgun sequence.
UGGUUUUGUCUGAAGUCAAACUUUCUUAAAUUUGACUAAAUUUAUAUAAAAGAUUAUUAAUUUUUAUAAUACCAAAUAAAUAUACUAUGAAAAUAUAUUUUAUCAUAAAUCUAAUGAUACUUAUUUGGUUUUAUAAAAAAUAGUAAUUUUUUAUAUAAAUUUGGUCAAACUUAGGAAAGUUUGACUUCAGACAAAACCAA